UCUUCCAUAGUACAGCGGUUAGUAUAUCCGCCUUUCAUGCAUUUGAUCGCGGGAGAUCGGGGUUCGAUUCCCCGUGGGAGAA
rfam:Cryptococcus dejecticola CBS 10117 unplaced genomic scaffold supercont1.3, whole genome shotgun sequence.